rnacentral:rRNA from 1 species
ACUUAAGCAUAUCAAUAAGCGGAGGAAAAGAAACUAACAAGGAUUCCCCUAGUAACUGCGAGUGAAGAGGGAAGAGCUCAAAUUUAAAAUCUGGCAGUCUUAUGUCUGUCCGAGUUGUAAAUUAGAGAAGCGUUAUCCGCGCUGGCCUGUGCAAAAGUCUCUUGGAAAAGAGCAUCAUAGAGGGUGACAAUCCCGUCUUUGGCACAGACUACCAGGGCUUUUGUGAUGCGUUCUCGAUGAGUCGAGUUGUUUGGGAAUGCAGCUCUAAAUGGGUGGUAAAUUCCAUCUAAAGCUAAAUAUUGGCGAGAAACCGAUAGCGCACAAGUACCGUGAGGGAAAGAUGAAAAGAACUUUGAAAAGAGAGUUAAACAGUACGUGAAAUUGUUGAAAGGGAAACGCUUGAAGUCAGUCGUGUCCUUCAGAAAUCAACCUGACUUUCGUUGGGCGUACUUUCUGUUGGAUGGGUCAGCAUCAAUUUUGAUCGUUGGAUAAAGGCCUCGGGAAUGUGGCAUCUUCGGAUGUGUUAUAGACCUUGGUUCGCAUACAAUGGUUGGGAUUGAGGAACUCAGUGUGACUUAUGUUUGGGGCUUCGGCCUACACUACGCACUUAGGAUGCUGGCAUAAUGGCUUUAAUCGACCCGUCUUGAAACACGGACCAAGGAGUCUAACAUACAUGCGAGUGUU